GGAGAGGUGGCAGAGUGGUCGAAUGCACCGCACUCGAAAUGCGGCAUAGGGGCAACCCUAUCGGGAGUUCGAAUCUCCCCCUCUCCGCCA
rnacentral:tRNA from 2 species